GAUUGUUAGUAAUGUUCUUUUGAAGUUUUAUUACCUCAUUUUGUUCCUUAUCCAAUGUAUAAUGAAAUAAAUCUUUGAGCCAUUGACUGUCCAAGCAUGAUGUGGGUAUCAUCAUUCCUGUGUGCGUCAACAUUUUCAGGAACUAUUAUAUCAUUUCCCCAAACUUUCUUAUCUAAUAUCUGGUUAGUAAACUGCAAUUAGGAAUCAAUGAGAAUACAUUAUGAUAUUGCACUCUCUCAAGUUUUGCAUCUGUGGCAAAAAUGCUUAUGGACUGGUGCAUCUCAUCGUUUGCUGUCUUCCACUCUAACAGGAGGCUGAUUCCUCUAAGCAUG
rnacentral:misc_RNA from 1 species